AGAGUUUGAUCAUGGCUCAGAUUGAACGCUGGCGGCAGGCUUAACACAUGCAAGUCGAGCGGGGAAAUGUAGCUUGCUACAUUACCUAGCGGCGGACGGGUGAGUAAUGCUUAGGAAUCUGCCUAUUAGUGGGGGACAACAUCUCGAAAGGGAUGCUAAUACCGCAUACGUCCUACGGGAGAAAGCAGGGGACCUUCGGGCCUUGCGCUAAUAGAUGAGCCUAAGUCGGAUUAGCUAGUUGGUGGGGUAAAGGCCUACCAAGGCGACGAUCUGUAGCGGGUCUGAGAGGAUGAUCCGCCACACUGGGACUGAGACACGGCCCAGACUCCUACGGGAGGCAGCAGUGGGGAAUAUUGGACAAUGGGGGGAACCCUGAUCCAGCCAUGCCGCGUGUGUGAAGAAGGCCUUUUGGUUGUAAAGCACUUUAAGCGAGGAGGAGGCUACCGAGAUUAAUACUCUUGGAUAGUGGACGUUACUCGCAGAAUAAGCACCGGCUAACUCUGUGCCAGCAGCCGCGGUAAUACAGAGGGUGCAAGCGUUAAUCGGAUUUACUGGGCGUAAAGCGCGCGUAGGUGGCCAAUUAAGUCAAAUGUGAAAUCCCCGAGCUUAACUUGGGAAUUGCAUUCGAUACUGGUUGGCUAGAGUAUGGGAGAGGAUGGUAGAAUUCCAGGUGU
rnacentral:rRNA from 1 species